rnacentral:lncRNA from 1 species
AAGGCCAUAUUGGAGAUUAGGGUUAGUUUUUUAGAGCCAUUUGAGCUUUGAAGGCUAGUUUCAACAAUUUUAGAUUUUUGGCUAUAGUUUUGGUAUAAGUUUUGUAUUAUUUGGAGUUUAUAUGAAGGAGAUAUAGGCGCUCAAAGUUAAGGUGUUGAUUUGGGAGCUACUGUCACUCUUUUUGGCAUAACACAUGCGUACAAAGGGUAAUUGAGGAUCGGCGACAACGACUAGAGAGAACACUUUUGCGGCUACACUUCUUGUAUUCCAAGUUAUAGUGAAAGAGUUAUUAGAUUUUGAAGUCAGCACAUGCAAUCUAAGGGUAGUAAGUGACCCAAUUUAUUAGUGGUUGUGUCUUGAGCUAUAUCUUGAGCAAUUUGACAAGUUUUUGGCUCAAAAUUUCAGAGAAUGUGUAAUUUUAUAUUGAUAAACUUUUUACAUAAGUUUUAUGACAUUUGAGUAUUGGAUUCUUAAGAUAUUAAGAAAAUAAAGCUCAAAUGCUUGUAAAUUAGGAUUUAGAGCAUCUACUAGGGUUUCUUAGAUGUCAAAAGAUCGAUAGUGAAUUUACAAUUGAUUUUUUUUGUCAUAAAAGUUAAGAGUGAAUUCUACCUAUCCUAUAGAUUUGAAACAAACUAAAUUGGUAGAUCAAUAGUUAUGAAUUUUUAAAGUUUGGAAUAAGAAAAUCCUUGGCGAGAAAAAUAUGUUUUGAAGGGAUUUUAUUAUAUUUUGAGUUUUAUGCAAAAUAAAGGAGUUUUGAGAGGCUAAGAAAAGAUUCAUAUAAAGAUUUAAGCUAAAAUCUGUAUAGCU